rnacentral:rRNA from 1 species
GUGGGGAAUAUUGCACAAUGGGCGCAAGCCUGAUGCAGCAACGCCGCGUGAGGGACGACGGCCUUCGGGUUGUAAACCUCUUUUAGCAGGGAAGAAGCGAAAGUGACGGUACCUGCAGAAAAAGCACCGGCUAACUACGUGCCAGCAGCCGCGGUAAUACGUAGGGUGCAAGCGUUGUCCGGAAUUAUUGGGCGUAAAGAGCUCGUAGGCGGUUUGUCGCGUCUGCUGUGAAAACCCGAGGCUCAACCUCGGGCCUGCAGUGGGUACGGGCAGAAUAGAGUGCGGUAGGGGAGAUUGGAAUUCCUGGUGUAGCGGUGGAAUGCGCAGAUAUCAGGAGGAACACCGAUGGCGAAGGCAGAUCUCUGGGCCGUUACUGACGCUGAGGCGCGAAAGCGUGGGGAGCAAACAGGAUUAGAAACCCCUGUAGUCC